UUUCGACCCUCAUUACGAUCAGUGGACGCAAAUCAAACCGAUGCCCAUCCAAAGCCGUGUCGUGGGCGUCAUCGCUCUGAACAACCGAGUGUUUGCGAUGGUUGUGAUGGAGCCAACGUUCUGCAGAGCGUCGAAGCCUACAACCCUCAUACCAACUCCUGGAGAAUGCUUGCCUCCAUGUUUAACCCAUGAAGGAACAUUGGCGUCGAGGUGAUGGACGGCCGCUUGUACGUGGUUGGCGGCUACAGCGACGAAAGCACCACAUCCAACUGCGAGUACUACGACGAAGAGAGCGACGACUGGUACGAGACGUAUGGUGUCAGGUCCAGA